CCUACGGGCGGCAGCAGUAGGGAAUUUUCCACAAUGGGCGAAAGCCUGAUGGAGCAACGCCGCGUGGGUGAAGAAGGUCUUCGGAUCGUAAAACCCUGUUGUUAGAGAAGAAAGUGCGUGAGAGUAACUGUUCACGUUUCGACGGUAUCUAACCAGAAAGCCACGGCUAACUACGUGCCAGCAGCCGCGGUAAUACGUAGGUGGCAAGCGUUAUCCGGAUUUAUUGGGCGUAAAGGGAACGCAGGCGGUCUUUUAAGUCUGAUGGGAAAGCCUUCGGCUUAACCGGAGUAGUGCAUUGGAAACUGGGAGACUUGAGUGCAGAAGAGGAGAGUGGAACUCCAUGUGUAGCGGUGAAAUGCGUAGAUAUAUGGAAGAACACCAGUGGCGAAAGCGGCUCUCUGGUCUGUAACUGACGCUGAGGUUCGAAAGCGUGGGUAGCAAACAGGAUUAGAUACCCCAGUAGUC
rnacentral:rRNA from 1 species